AUAUCAAUAAGCGGAGGAAAAGAAACCAACAGGGAUUGCUCUAGUAACGGCGAGUGAAGCAGCAAUAGCUCAAAUUUGAAAUCUGGCGUCUUCGACGUCCGAGUUGUAAUUUGUAGAGGAUGCUUCUGAGUAACCACCGACCUAAGUUCCUUGGAACAGGACGUCAUAGAGGGUGAGAAUCCCGUAUGCGGUCGGAAAGGUGCUCUAUACGUAGCUCCUUCGACGAGUCGAGUUGUUUGGGAAUGCAGCUCUAAAUGGGAGGUAAAUUUCUUCUAAAGCUAAAUAUUGGCCAGAGACCGAUAGCGCACAAGUAGAGUGAUCGAAAGAUGAAAAGCACUUUGGAAAGAGAGUUAAAAAGCACGUGAAAUUGUUAAAAGGGAAGGGAUUGCAACCAGACUUGCUCGCGGUGUUCCGCCGGUCUUCUGACCGGUCUACUCGCCGCGUUGCAGGCCAGCAUCGUCUGGUGCCGCUGGAUAAGACUUGAGGAAUGUAGCUCCCUCGGGAGUGUUAUAGCCUCUUGUGAUGCAGCGAGCGCCGGGCGAGGUCCGCGCUUCGGCUAGGAUGCUGGCGUAAUGGUCGUAAUCCGCCC
rnacentral:rRNA from 1 species